rnacentral:rRNA from 1 species
UACGUAGGGUGCGAGCGUUAAUCGGAAUUACUGGGCGUAAAGUGUGCGCAGGCGGCCGAGCAAGUCGAGUGUGAAAGCCCCGGGCUUAACCUGGGAACUGCGCUCGAAACUACUUGGCUGGAGUGUGGCAGAGGGAGGUGGAAUUCCACGUGUAGCGGUGAAAUGCGUAGAGAUGUGGAGGAACACCGAUGGCGAAGGCAGGUCUCUGGGCUGACACUGACGCUCAUGCACGAAAGCGUGGGGAGCAAACAGG